rnacentral:rRNA from 1 species
GACGAACGCUGGCGGCGUGCCUAAUACAUGCAAGUCGAACGCAGUUGCGAACGGGUGAGUAACGCGUAGGUAACCUGCCUCAUAGCUGGGGAUAACUAUUGGAAACGAUAGCUAAUACCGCAUACUGUGAGAUGGACCUGCGUUGUAUUGGCUAGUUGGUGAGGUAAAGGCUCACCAAGGCGACGAUACAUAGCCGACGGGAGAGGGUGAUCGGCCACACUGGGACUGAGACACGGCCCAGACUCCUACGGGAGGCAGCAGUGGGGAAUAUUGCGCAAUGGGCGCAAGCCUGAGGCAGCCAUGCCGCGUGUGUGAAGAAGGCCUUCGGGUUGUAAAGCACUUUCAGCGGGGAGGCGUUACCCGCAGAAGAAGCACCGGCUAACUCCGUGCCAGCCGCCGCGGUAAUAC